UGGGGAAUAUUGCACAAUGGGCGCAAGCCUGAUGCAGCCAUGCCGCGUGUAUGAAGAAGGCCUUCGGGUUGUAAAGUACUUUCAGCGGGGAGGAAGGGAGUAAAGUUAAUACCUUUGCUCAUUGACGUUACCCGCAGAAGAAGCACCGGCUAACUCCGUGCCAGCAGCCGCGGUAAUACGGAGGGUGCAAGCGUUAAUCGGAAUUACUGGGCGUAAAGCGCACGCAGGCGGUUUGUUAAGUCAGAUGUGAAAUCCCCGGGCUCAACCUGGGAACUGCAUCUGAUACUGGCAAGCUUGAGUCUCGUAGAGGGGGGUAGAAUUCCAGGUGUAGCGGGGAAAUGCGUAGAGAUCUGGGGGAAUACCGGUGGCGAAGGCGGCCCCCUGGACGAAGACUGACGCUCAGGUGCGAAAGCGUGGGGAGCAAACAGG
rnacentral:rRNA from 2 species